rnacentral:rRNA from 1 species
UACGAAGGGGGCUAGCGUUGCUCGGAAUCACUGGGCGUAAAGGGUGCGUAGACGGGUCUUUAAGUCGGGGGUGAAAUCCUGGAGCUCAACUCCAGAACUGCCUUCGAUACUGGCGAUCUCGAGUUCGGGAGAGGUGGAGUGGAACUGCGAGUGUAGAGGUGAAAUUCGUAGAUAUUCGCAAGAACACCAGUGGCGAAGGCGGCUCACUGGCCCGGUACUGACGCUGAGGUGCGAAAGCG